CGUGCAGGAUGACGGUCUUCGGACUUGGUAAACUGCUUUUAUAUGGGAAGAUAAUGACGGUACCAUAUAGAAUAAGGACCGGCUAACUACGUGC
rnacentral:rRNA from 1 species